CAGCCGCCGCGGUAAUACGAAGGGGGCUAGCGUUGCUCGGAAUUACUGGGCGUAAAGCGUGCGCAGGCGGUUAUGCAAGACAGAUGUGAAAUCCCCGGGCUUAACCUGGGAACUGCAUUUGUGACUGCAUGGCUAGAGUGCGGCGGAGGGGGAUGGAAUUCCGCGUGUAGCAGUGAAAUGCGUAGAUAUGCGGAGGAACACCGAUGGCGAAGGCAAUCCCCUGGGCCUGCACUGACGCUCAUGCACGAAAGCGUGGGGAGCAAACAGGAUUAGAUACCCCAGUAGUCCCUGUCUCUUAUAU
rnacentral:rRNA from 1 species